rnacentral:rRNA from 1 species
AGAGACCGGCGCACGGGUGCGUAACGCGUAUGCAAUCUACCUUUUACAGAGGGAUAGCCCAGAGAAAUUUGGAUUAAUACCUCAUAGUAUAAUGACUCGGCAUCGAGAUAUUAUUAAAGUCACAACGGUAAAAGAUGAGCAUGCGUCCCAUUAGCUAGUUGGUAAGGUAACGGCUUACCAAGGCUACGAUGGGUAGGGGUCCUGAGAGGGAGAUCCCCCACACUGGUACUGAGACACGGACCAGACUCCUACGGGAGGCAGCAGUGAGGAAUAUUGGACAAUGGGCGCAAGCCUGAUCCAGCCAUGCCGCGUGCAGGAUGACGGUCCUAUGGAUUGUAAACUGCUUUUGUACGAGAAGAAACACUCCUUCGUGAAGGAGCUUGACGGUAUCGUAAGAAUAAGGAUCGGCUAACUCCGUGCCAGCAGCCGCGGUAAUACGGAGGAUCCAAGCGUUAUCCGGAAUCAUUGGGUUUAAAGGGUCCGUAGGCGGUUUAGUAAGUCAGUGGUGAAAGCCCAUCGCUCAACGGUGGAACGGCCAUUGAUACUGCUAAACUUGAAUUAUUAGGAAGUAACUAGAAUAUGUAGUGUAGCGGUGAAAUGCUUAGAGAUUACAUGGAAUACCAAUUGCGAAGGCAGGUUACUACUAAUGGAUUGACGCUGAUGGACGAAAGCGUGGGUAGCGAACAGGAUUAGAUACCCUGGUAGUCCACGCCGUAAACGAUGGAUACUAGCUGUUGGGAGCAAUCUCAGUGGCUA